rnacentral:rRNA from 1 species
GGGUUGUGAGGUUAAGCGACUAAGCGUACACGGUGGAUGCCCUGGCAGUCAGAGGCGAUGAAGGACGUGCUAAUCUGCGAAAAGCGUCGGUAAGGUGAUAUGAACCGUUAUAGCCGGCGAUGUCCGAAUGGGGAAACCCAGUGCAAUUCGUUGCACUAUCGUUAACUGAAUACAUAGGUUAACGAGGCGAACCGGGGGAACUGAAACAUCUAAGUACCCCGAGGAAAAGAAAUCAACCGAGAUUCCCCCAGUAGCGGCGAGCGAACGGGGAGCAGCCCAGAGUCUGAAUCAGCUUGUGUGUUAGUGGAACGGUCUGGAAAGUCCGACGGUACAGGGUGAUAGUCCCGUACACCAAAAUGCACAGGCUGUGAACUCGAAGAGUAGGGCGGGACACGUGGUAUCCUGUCUGAAUAUGGGGGGACCAUCCUCCAAGGCUAAAUACUCCUGACUGACCGAUAGUGAACCAGUACCGUGAGGGAAAGGCGAAAAGAACCCCGGCGAGGGGAGUGAAAAAGAACCUGAAACCGUGUACGUACAAGCAGUGGGAGCACCUUCGGGUGUGACUGCGUACCUUUUGUAUAAUGGGUCAGCGACUUAUAUUCUGUAGCAAGGUUAACCGUAUAGGGGAGCCGCAGGGAAACCGAGUCUUAACUGGGCGUUAAGUUGCAGGGUAUAGACCCGAAACCCGGUGAUCUAGCCAUGGGCAGGUUGAAGGUUGGGUAACACUAACUGGAGGACCGAACCGACUAAUGUUGAAAAAUUAGCGGAUGACUUGUGGCUGGGGGUGAAAGGCCAAUCAAACCGGGAGAUAGCUGGUUCUCCCCGAAAGCUAUUUAGGUAGCGCCUCGUGAAUUCAUCUUCGGGGGUAGAGCACUGUUUCGGCUAGGGGGUCAUCCCGACUUACCAACCCGAUGCAAACUACGAAUACCGAAGAAUGUUAUCACGGGAGACACACGGCGGGUGCUAACGUCCGUCGUGAAGAGGGAAACAACCCAGACCGCCAGCUAAGGUCCCAAAGUCAUGGUUAAGUGGGAAACGAUGUGGGAAGGCACAGACAGCCAGGAUGUUGGCUUAGAAGCAGCCAUCAUUUAAAGAAAGCGUAAUAGCUCACUGGUCGAGUCGGCCUGCGCGGAAGAUGUAACGGGGCUAAACCAUGCACCGAAGCUGCGGCAGCGACACUAUGUGUUGUUGGGUAGGGGAGCGUUCUGUAAGCCUGCGAAGGUGACCUGUGAGGGUUGCUGGAGGUAUCAGAAGUGCGAAUGCUGACAUAAGUAACGAUAAAGCGGGUGAAAAGCCCGCUCGCCGGAAGACCAAGGGUUCCUGUCCAACGUUAAUCGGGGCAGGGUGAGUCGACCCCUAAGGCGAGGCCGAAAGGCGUAGUCGAUGGGAAACAGGUUAAUAUUCCUGUACUUGGUGUUACUGCGAAGGGGGGACGGAGAAGGCUAUGUUAGCCGGGCGACGGUUGUCCCGGUUUAAGCAUGUAGGCUGGUUGUCCAGGCAAAUCCGGAUAAUCAAGGCUGAGGUGUGAUGACGAGGCACUACGGUGCUGAAGUAACAAAUGCCCUGCUUCCAGGAAAAGCCUCUAAGCAUCAGGUAACAUUAAAUCGUACCCCAAACCGACACAGGUGGUCAGGUAGAGAAUACCAAGGCGCUUGAGAGAACUCGGGUGAAGGAACUAGGCAAAAUGGUGCCGUAACUUCGGGAGAAGGCACGCUGGUGUGUAGGUGAAGUCCCUGCGGAUGGAGCUGAGACCAGUCGAAGAUACCAGCUGGCUGCAACUGUUUAUUAAAAACACAGCACUGUGCAAACACGAAAGUGGACGUAUACGGUGUGACGCCUGCCCGGUGCCGGAAGGUUAAUUGAUGGGGUUAUCCGUAAGGAGAAGCUCUUGAUCGAAGCCCCGGUAAACGGCGGCCGUAACUAUAACGGUCCUAAGGUAGCGAAAUUCCUUGUCGGGUAAGUUCCGACCUGCACGAAUGGCGUAAUGAUGGCCAGGCUGUCUCCACCCGAGACUCAGUGAAAUUGAACUCGCUGUGAAGAUGCAGUGUACCCGCGGCAAGACGGAAAGACCCCGUGAACCUUUACUAUAGCUUGACACUGAACAUUGAGCCUUGAUGUGUAGGAUAGGUGGGAGGCUUUGAAGCGUGGACGCCAGUCUGCGUGGAGCCAACCUUGAAAUACCACCCUUUAAUGUUUGAUGUUCUAACGUUGGCCCCUGACCGGGGUUGCGGACAGUGUCUGGUGGGUAGUUUGACUGGGGCGGUCUCCUCCCAAAGCGUAACGGAGGAGCACGAAGGUUAGCUAAUCCUGGUCGGACAUCAGGAGGUUAGUGCAAUGGCAUAAGCUAGCUUGACUGCGAGCGUGACGGCGCGAGCAGGUGCGAAAGCAGGUCAUAGUGAUCCGGUGGUUCUGAAUGGAAGGGCCAUCGCUCAACGGAUAAAAGGUACUCCGGGGAUAACAGGCUGAUACCGCCCAAGAGUUCAUAUCGACGGCGGUGUUUGGCACCUCGAUGUCGGCUCAUCACAUCCUGGGGCUGAAGUAGGUCCCAAGGGUAUGGCUGUUCGCCAUUUAAAGUGGUACGCGAGCUGGGUUUAGAACGUCGUGAGACAGUUCGGUCCCUAUCUGCCGUGGGCGCUGGAGAAUUGAGGGGGGCUGCUCCUAGUACGAGAGGACCGGAGUGGACGCAUCACUGGUGUUCGGGUUGUCAUGCCAAUGGCACUGCCCGGUAGCUAAAUGCGGAAGAGAUAAGUGCUGAAAGCAUCUAAGCACGAAACUUGCCCCGAGAUGAGUUCUCCCUGAGACUUUAAGUCUCCUGAAGGAACGUUGAAGACGACGACGUUGAUAGGCCGGGUGUGUAAGCGCAGCGAUGCGUUGAGCUAACCGGUACUAAUGAACCGUGAGGCUUAACCUUACAACGCCGAAG